CUGAGAGACGCCCGAAGGUGAGGUGCCGGCCGGCUGUUCCCGCUGGUGGCACAAUAUUUUGUGCUUGCGUUGCCUGCGUUCCUCCCGGCGCGAGUGUUUGUCGGUACGUGUUUGCAGUGGGUGUGUGUGGGUGCCUCCUGUUAACACGGCUGUAUAUAGAGUGAAGAUGCCGCAGUGCCUUGCAGAGUUAGCGGCGCCACGAGGCAAGCCGUUAGUCACAGCAGGCGGCGGAGUAGUGGCAGGGCGCGGCUGUGGGUGUUGCCUGGCAGCCACAAUACUUGCCGCUGUAAUAUUGUGUUGUGAUGGUGUUGAGAGACUGGCACCACCACCACCACCACCACCACCAGCGACAGGCGACGAUGUUUCAGACAACGAUAAAAAAGGUCGAUACGGCGGCGAGUCAGCUGGUUACAUCGUCUCCUGCAGUAACACAUUUCUUUUAACGAGACUGGCCAAGGAAAAAAAGAAAAGAACAAAAAAGUGCGCUUAACUUGCCCAAGAA